rnacentral:lncRNA from 7 species
UGCUUUGACAGGCUGCUUCAAUGGAGGGCAUGUGACAUUUGGAAAUACAAUCAGGGUGGAAUUCAAGCUUGACAUGCAGAAACAUGCAGUGAGGAUGCAGAAAUAUUUCUGUACUGUAAGUUCUGGCUGAAUUCAGUCAUGAGGACAAAGAGUCAGGGGUGAUGGAAAUGGGCAACUUCAAAAUGAGAUCUUUGCCUCUACAUGUAAUGAGAGUAACAGAGACCACACCACUGCCCUGCAGGCUACAGAAGCGCAACUCGUAGGCAUGAGAACUAGGGCUGGUGACGUCGUUUUCCAGCAGGUAUUAAUUUGCUGGGUUUGGGUGGUUUGUUCCUGUGAAAAAUGUCAGGUAUAAAUACUGUUACCUGGAAAGAGACCAUCAGGCACAGAUCUUUUUUUUUUUUAUUUUUUUAAAGUAUGCGUGUUAAGGCUUCAAAGCUUCAAAGUCUGCUGAAUGGCAGUCCCUGAGAAUGGAUUAGAUAAAAUCUGAUUAAGAAAUGUAUCAUUUCCUUCUGAGAAACCUGAAAUAAAGAACACUUCUCUUAACUGUUCCUCUCCUGAAAUGUGACCGAUCUGUGCAGAACUGCUUUCAGUAUCUGAUACCUGAAUAUCUUCAUAUUCAAUGGGAUAUUUAUUUCCCACGUCUCUUUUGCAUCUGGUUAAAAUAUGUAUCGUCUCAUUGAAGACUCAUUUGCAGAGGGAGCAGAUCCUGACCUUGGCUUACUUUGAGUCGGCACCUUUCUUUUCAGCAUUUUUGUGAGGAAGGAUCAGGGCUAAUUGCAGAGCAACGUAGAGAGAGGCAACGGCUCCUUUCUUAAGGAAGGUGCGAUACCUGCAGGGAGGAGGUCACAGCUACCAGUGGUGUAUGUUGCAGCCUUUGUUUUCAACGAACAGUCCCCAGCUACAACACCACCCCGCUGGGUGUAGUGCCUUGCAAAUGAGCAAAUGAGUCUUCAAUUCUGUGUGGAAGCUGCUGAGGGAAGAUCUGCAGUCAGCGCUCAUGUCUUUCAGCUUGCUGAAGUGGUAAUGGUAAACAGCAGAGGCUAUCCCUCUCUCCAAAAAACACAUCAGAACGUCUGCAUUCAAACCGGGGUCUGAUAUUGACCAGGAGAAGGGAUACCUGAAUAACACCCUGUAUCAGACAUGGAAAUAGUUCAGAAUUUGCGUGCAAGACAGCAAACCUUAUUGUUUUUAAGAAGCUGCAGUCAGAAUUCGAGCAGUGAGAGAUCGCUGAGGAAAGCAGCUCCCAUCGUGCUAUUAUUUUUAUUGUUGUGAAAGCAAAUGACUAUGAAUAAAUGCACCAGUAAG